rnacentral:lncRNA from 1 species
UUUCCAUUCACCAAAAUUUAUUUCCAUAUCCAGAAACAUUAUUUUGUGAAGCCUUCUUAAUCCGUGGAGCACCCCAUAAUCACAUUUUAUUUGGUUUAUUGAGUAACUAAUUGUUGACUUUACCCCAAUCCAGUGUGUCAGAAGACAUUUUACAAUGCAAACACAGAACUCUGAAGUGCUUUUGUGACAAAAUGUGAAUUUCAAUUUAAGAUAAGCUAUAAAAGAUUAUGAAAAUCCUUUGGAAAGUUUUCAUGCAGCUAAUAGUUUAUUUGCACGGAUUUCUAACUUGGAUGUCUUAU